CUCAAUGAUAACUUGGCAGGAGAAGGGGGAAGCUGCCAGGUUUUCCCUGGGCUCACUACCUGGUCGUUCAUUCCAGCCUACAUUUGAAGUGGUUACAUGCAGCCAGAGAGACUGGAGUGUAUAACUCAGGAGUUAAAUAGUAACUUCCCCUUCAGGACUACUCAUGGUAGUAAGCACCAUGCCUGAUAAGUGUUUUCAGAAUCCAAGCCCCUAAAUUAAGACAGAAGUGGAGAUGACAACAUGAUUAUGCAUUCACUGGAGAAGCUAUUCCAUGUGGUUUGAAUCCAAUCCAGUCCCUGUGGAAGUCAACGGAAAGACUCCUAUCGAUGUUAUUCUUAGCUAUCCAGGUAUUUCUAUGUUUGUAUAUGCUUCCUAAAGGGCUCACAAUCCUACCACCUCCUCUGUGAGGAAGAGAAGCACUAUCUCUACAUAUGGUGAAUUAAGGCACAGAGUAGAUGAAGUGAGUCUUCAAGGUUACACAGUACACUUGUGGCUAAGCCAAGAACUGAUUUCAGGUCUCCUCAGUCCAAGUACAGUGCCUUAGCUAGUGGAUCAUCCUUCCUAUCUUUAAUGCAGUGGUCCCCAACCUUUUUCCGGGUGGCGGGCGCCAGAC